AGAAACCCAUGGCUCUCAAGUCGUGUUGAGUUCAUAGACUGAACUGAAACUUGCUUUCCUGUUGCAUAUGAUUCUAAAAAUGUUUAUGCCAAUCUUUCUUUCUUGCUUGAUACUACAUGCUUUUAUACAGGGGGUUUUGUUCUUUUUGAAUUGAUUCCAUUAGGUUGUGAUUGAUUUCAUUCCCCUUUUACUAAGACUGGAUUGAUUUGCUACUGAUUAUUUCAACUUAACCUUUUCCCUAUUUUCCUAACUAAGUUCAUUCAAGGUUUUUUUGAAUUUUUGACUAUUUGAUUAUUUUAUUUCCUUAUUCUUUCAAAAACGUGUACUAUAGUUUCAUACAUUAAAUAGAUUCUGUAUGCACCUGCCCUUAAUUUUGUUACUCUGAAAGGUUUUCCCUUCCUUAAUUACCACUCCUAUUUGAAAUCAAAUCCCUUUGACUAAGGGAAAUUUUAUUUGAUUGACUGAUAUUUUAUUUCUUUGCCCUCUUGUCUACAUAUUUUUGCACUAUAAAAGAUCAUAGCUCUCACAAUUUCUAACAGACAUAAAAACAACAAGUUUUACAAAAACACUCGAACACGACAAUUCUCACAAAAUUCAUUCUGCACCUUUGCAAUACACUACUACUCUCUACUACUACUCUCUAUUUUCUCUACUACUGCUGAGUACUCUACUCCUUUCUCCUACUGUCUGAAUCUCCUGGAGUUCCUCUUAACUCCGAAGUACUUGCUGAAGUUCUACGUUGCUCCUGAUAAGUCUUUCUGGCUAUUUAUUUGUUGUUGCUAUUCUGCUGUUCUAAAACUUGCAAUUGGUAUGUUUUCCUAGUUAAAUAGCAUCCUUUUUAUUAUAUGUUCACUCCUCAUCUUCUACACUUCUUUCCCUGUGUUUUUACUUAUGCGUUCCUAUAUUAUAUGAUUACAUUCAAGUAUGCUAUGCCUUUUCUAUAUGUUUUCAAUCUGUUAUGCGUUUACUACCUUCCCUCUAUUCCCUUUGUAUGUGAGUAUUGUCCUUAAUCAUGGCAGAACUUUGAAUUGUUGUGUGUGAUCUAGAACUAGGCUCCCCUGAGUCUUUACUCAAUUACUUUCCCAUUCCCUCUCCCCUCUAUAUGCUGAGCUUUAUCUUGGGUCUGGUGGUGUCCCAAUUAUUAUUCAUGCCUAAGUUUGACUCUCUAAGAGUCUGAUCCUAUUUGUUUGAAUAUAAGCAAGUGGUCAGGGGUGUGCCAGCCUAUGACAUGGCUGGGUUUGACCACCUCCUGCUGUGGUUUCUCCCUCACUUUGCACUCAUUCCUAGUUCUUAAGUUCUACCCCCCUUUGGUAAGUCAUGCUUAGGGACUCUAGGGUUCUCUCUGAACUUGGAUGCCUGAGGGCUGGUAAUUCCACACUUGCACUAUGCUGUUACAAUAUUCACUUUUUAGAGUGUAAGCAUUUCCUGGGCUCUUGAAGCUCCUUGGAACUUUGAAACACUCUGAAUGAGAGAAGGAUAUUAAGAUUUGGUGCAACACAUGUAUUGGAUAUUAAGAUUGAAUUAGGGUUCCCGGAUCUAGCUGUGGGAUAUGAUGUAUUUUGUUUGCCUUUUUUCUUCUAAUUCUGUAAUAAUUCCCUGCAAAACGAACUCGGGGUAUAUUAGUAAAGGGUAUGAGAGGGG
rnacentral:lncRNA from 1 species